rnacentral:rRNA from 1 species
AGCGGGGGACAACAUUUGGAAACGAAUGCUAAUACCGCAUAACAACUUUAAACACAAGUUUUAAGUUUGAAAGAUGCAAUUGCAUCACUCAAAGAUGAUCCCGCGUUGUAUUAGCUAGUUGGUGAGGUAAAGGCUCACCAAGGCGAUGAUACAUAGCCGACCUGAGAGGGUGAUCGGCCACAUUGGGACUGAGACACGGCCCAAACUCCUACGGGAGGCAGCAGUAGGGAAUCUUCGGCAAUGGACGAAAGUCUGACCGAGCAACGCCGCGUGAGUGAAGAAGGUUUUCGGAUCGUAAAACUCUGUUGGUAGAGAAGAACGUUGGUGAGAGUGGAAAGCUCAUCAAGUGACGGUAACUACCCAGAAAGGGACGGCUAACUACGUGCCAGCAGCCGCGGUAAUACGUAGGUCCCGAGCGUUGUCCGGAUUUAUUGGGCGUAAAGCGAGCGCAGGUGGUUUAUUAAGUCUGGUGUAAAAGGCAGUGGCUCAACCAUUGUAUGCAUUGGAAACUGGUAGACUUGAGUGCAGGAGAGGAGAGUGGAAUUCCAUGUGUAGCGGUGAAAUGCGUAGAUAUAUGGAGGAACACCGGUGGCGAAAGCGGCUCUCUGGCCUGUAACUGACACUGAGGCUCGAAAGCGUGGGGAGCAAACAGGAUUAGAUACCCUGGUAGUCCACGCCGUAAACGAUGAGUGCUAGAUGUAGGGAGCUAUAAGUUCUCUGUAUCGCAGCUAACGCAAU